UACGUAGGGUCCGAGCGUUGUCCGGAAUUACUGGGCGUAAAGAGCUCGUAGGUGGUUUUGUCGCGUUGUUCGUGAAAACUCACAGCUUAACUGUGGGCGUGCGGGCGAUACGGGCAGACUUGAGUACUGCAGGGGAGACUGGAAUUCCUGGUGUAGCGGUGGAAUGCGCAGAUAUCAGGAGGAACACCGGUGGCGAAGGCGGGUCUCUGGGCAAUAACUGACGCUGAGGAGCGAAAGCGUGGGGAGCGAACAGG
rnacentral:rRNA from 1 species